AUUGAACGCUGGCGGCAGGCCUAACACAUGCAAGUCGAGCGGAUGAAGGGAGCUUGCUCCUGGAUUCAGCGGCGGACGGGUGAGUAAUGCCUAGGAAUCUGCCUGGUAGUGGGGGAUAGCGUCCGGAAACGGGCGCUAAUACCGCAUACGUCCUGAGGGAGAAAGUGGGGGAUCUUCGGACCUCACGCUAUCAGAUGAGCCUAGGUCGGAUUAGCUAGUUGGUGGGGUAAAGGCCUACCAAGGCGACGAUCCGUAACUGGUCUGAGAGGAUGAUCAGUCACACUGGAACUGAGACACGGUCCAGACUCCUACGGGAGGCAGCAGUAGGGAAUAUUGGACAAUGGGCGAAAGCCUGAUCCAGCCAUGCCGCGUGUGUGAAGAAGGUCUUCGGAUUGUAAAGCACUUUAAGUUGGGAGGAAGGGCAGUAAGUUAAUACCUUGCUGUUUUGACGUUACCAACAGAAUAAGCACCGGCUAACUUCGUG
rnacentral:rRNA from 1 species